GGGGUUAUGGCUCAGCGGUAGAGCACUUGCCUCACACAUGCAAGGCCCUGGGUUCAAUCCUCAGAACCACA
rnacentral:tRNA from 1 species